rnacentral:lncRNA from 1 species
GUUACAUGACAGGGAAAAAGGUCUGCUGUGCAAUUAAAUAAAAUAUAUAAACUUACCAGUAACUUCUACACUUGGAUGACCGACGGAAGCAAUAUAUGGACAAACCAGAGGGGAGCUUUACCACGACAGAGUUAACUGAAACAAUAAAGAUUGUAAGCAUGUCAGCUUGAAACCUGAUCUGGCUUUUGACCAAAAAAAGGCCGUCUUUUUCUCAGAAUAUCUGCUUCUCUGGCAAUUUGGAUAUUUGAAGGCCAGAAGAUUUGUUGCAAAACUUCGAAAACAAAACGAGGGAGCAAUCCUACAACUAUUAUUGACAAAAUGGAGAGCCAAUAAGCUGGUGACUUCACCAGAUGGUAUAUUGUACAGCAAUGAAAAUAAUAAUAAACUCAUAAGCCUUAAAAAAGCAAUAAUGAUGUAAUAAGUAAACAUUAAUGUCACUGAAUUUUCUUGAAAACUUAAUAUUUAAGCUAACCCGUAAUUAGAAAACACGGGUAUAGAAUCAAGCUCCAUCAUGCAACCAUAUGUGAUAAUUAUUGCUCCCCAUUAUGAGUUGUGAGUAAUAACAACCCAGCGCUGAAUGUCCAUUGCCAAAUGCAUAUUGACUAAGAUAACAACUGCAAUUGUCCACAAACUGCCCAUACUCCAUAUGUCAAUCGUGCUAUCCCUAUAGGUAAACAAGGGUAUGUAGAAGGGAACAAGGCUAUGCCAAAGCAUGUCAAGCAUAGUGAUCCAAAAGAGGGGCAUAUUAUAGCUCUCUUGUCGAUGCCCUGCAGCAUUGAGUUUCGGAUACUUCAAUAAUGUCUUGUGACUUAAGUCCUUGUCCAAAAUACCGACAACUAUAGUAGGUAGCGACGUAUAUAAAACAGAAUAAAAAACACUGCUCCAGUCUGUCAAUGCAGAUGUCGU